rnacentral:rRNA from 1 species
UACAGAGGUCUCGAGCGUUAGGCGGAAUCACUGGGCUUAAAGCGUGUGUAGGCGGUUCGUUAAGUGCCUUGUGAAAUCCCACGGCUCAACCGUGGAACUGCUUGGCAUACUGGCGGUCUUGAGCAACCUAGGGGCGAGCGGAACAAAUGGUGGAGCGGUGAAAUGCGUAGAUAUCUGGAGGAACACCGGUGGCGAAGGCGGCAUCCUGGACCGGCAUUGACGCUGAGGCGCGAAAGCCAGGGGAGCAAACGGG